ensembl:lncRNA
GUGAUGAGAAACGUCCACACUCCUAAUGUCUUGCCUCCUCUAAGUCGCCGGACACACAGCCCAACUUCCCUGGCAAACUUGCUUUUCAAACUCUCUUCUCCAUCUCAGUCAGGGACUCAGGUUCUGUAGUGCUGCCAUGCUUUACUCCUCUGUCCCUCCCCUUAUCUAGUCUCCCGCAUUGACUUUAUAAGCAAGUUUUGAGUCCCUGCCUCUGGAGUGCCUGAUGAGACAAAACUGCUCCUCGUCCUGCCUCCCCGCUGCUACUUCCAGAACUCAGGGCUCGUGGUCUGGAGCCUGCACUGUUCCAUGAGCCUCCUGACCAACCUGGAAGCCUCUGUCUUUCCUCCCUCAGUGAGAUGCACCUACUUCUCCCUGGAGAAGCUCGAGGAAGCAGGAAUACUGAAGAUGAGGUCAGGUCGGCCUUCACCUCCCCAGGCCCGUCCUGCUCCUGCCUUCCCCUGUGGGGCCCUCCGUGGAUGCUCUGGAGCCCCAGGCAAUAGCCAACUAGACCACAUCUGCUCAGGGGUUUAUUCUUCCGUCUGUUUGCAGGGCUGUUUUGGACUCAGUAUUCACCUAAGCACUCCAAACUACAACUGCCAGGGGCAUGAAGGGGAUGUGCUUCCAGGGCAUUUGCUGGCAGGGUGUCUCGUGAUCUCUUGGUAUUGGUGUGAGCACAGCCUGGCAGGAGAGGGCAGAUCUCAGUGCAAAGUAUCAUGUCAAAAAGCAGAUCGAAGCCAGGCCCCCUCCUGGAAGAGGCUCCUUGAAGGUAGGUGCACACUCAUGUCUUUGUUACUUGUAAGGGGGCAUCUUACAGGCAAGAGGAGUUAG